rnacentral:rRNA from 1 species
GACGAACGCUGGCGGCGUGCCUAACACAUGCAAGUCGAACGGAAAGGCCCUACUUUCGUGGGCUGCUCGAUUGGCGGUGGGGUGCGUAAGAGGUAGGUAACCGGACCUAGACUUUCGGGUAGCUUCAGGUAACUAGGGGUAAUACCGGAUAGGAGCGCAUCAUGUAUGGUAGGGGUUGGAAAUUUUCGGCGGUUGGGAAUGGAACCGCGGCUUAAUAGCUUGUUGGUGGGGUAGUGGCUUGCCAAGGCAUGGACGGGUCGCCGGCCUGAGAGGGUGACCGGCCACAGAGGGACUGAGAUACGGCCGAGACGCCUACGGGGGGCAGGAGUGGGGAAUAUUGCACAAUGGGCGGAGGCCUGAUGCAGCAACGCCGCGUGCGGGAUGACGGCCUUCGGGUUGGAAACCGCUUUCGCCUGUGACGAGGCGUGAGUGACGGUAAUGGGGAAAGAAGCACCGGCUAACUACGU